GAUGAACGCUAGCGGCAGGCCUAACACAUGCAAGUCGAGGGGCAUCACGGAUUGCUUGCAAUCUGGCGGCGACCGGCGCACGGGUGCGUAACGCGUAUACAACCUACCUUUUGGAGGGGAAUAGCCCAGAGAAACUUGGAUUAAUACCCCAUAGUAUAUAGGAAUCUCCUGAUUUUUAUAUUAAACAUUUAUGGCCAUUAGAUGGGUAUGCGUCCUAUUAGCUAGUUGGUGUGGUAACGGCACACCAAGGCUACGAUAGGUAGGGGUCCUGAGGGGGAGAUCCCCCACACUGGUACUGAGACACGGACCAGACUCCUACGGGAGGCAGCAGUGAGGAAUAUUGGACAAUGGGCGAGAGCCUGUUCCAGCCAUGCCGCGUGCAGGAAGACUGCCCUAUGGGUUGUAAACUGCUUUUACAGAGGAAGAACCACCCCCACGUGUGGGGGUUUGACGGUACUCUGCGAAUAAGGAUCGGCUAACUCCGUGCCAGCAGCCGCCGUAACAC
rnacentral:rRNA from 1 species